rnacentral:rRNA from 3 species
GGUGUACCGGAAGGUGUACCUGAC